rnacentral:rRNA from 1 species
AGCAGCCGCGGUAAUUCCAGCUCCAAUAGCGUAUAUUAAAGUUGUUGCAGUUAAAAAGCUCGUAGUUGAAUUUCGGGAUUGACAUGUUGGUCGUGCCUUAAGGGGUAUGAACUGGCAUUGUCGAUUUCUCACCUUCUGGAGAAUCACGAUGCUCUUAAUUGGGUGUCGUGUGGAUCCAGGACCUUUACCUUGAAAAAUUAGAGUGUUUAAAGCAGGCAUUUUGCUCGAAUACAUUAGCAUGGAAUAAUAAAAUAGGACGGCUUGGUUCUAUUUUGUUGGUUUCUAGGAUCACCGUAAUGAUUAAUAGGGAUAGUUGGGGGCAUUAGUAUUCAAUUGUCAGAGGUGAAAUUCUUGGAUUUAUUGAAGACUAACUACUGCGAAAGCAUUUGCCAAGGAUGUUUUCAUUAAUCAAGAACGAAAGUUAGGGGAUCGAAGACGAUCAGAUACCGU